AUCAAUAAAUAUACUUCAUCACUUAUGAAGCAGCUGCUAUUCUAUUAAGAAAAAAUUCUAUUAAAACCAAAGUAAUUACCAAUAUUAAUAGUGGCAGAAAAAACUUCCAAAGUAUGAUGAAAAUGUUUACGAAAAAUUGCAAUAAUAAACUAUCAGUUCAUCUUUCUUCAUCAUUAGAUUUUUAUAAAUAUAUGCGGAAGAUUUUAGACUUAACCCAAAUUUGAUGUCACUUAUUACAAUGCGCGUAAAUUCAAAAUAGAUAAUUUUAAUAUCAGUAAAUUAUUAUAAAAUAUAAAUUUAUAUUAUUUCAUAAAACAUAUUCUAUAAAUUAUUCUGUAAUCUAUAUCAUCAAAGAAAGAAUUUAUCAUUUAAUUAGUAAAAAUAUUGUAUGUAAAUAUAUGUAUAUGCAUAUGUAUAUGUAUAUGUAUAUGUAUAUGUAUAUGUAUAUUAUUAUUAUUAUUAUUGUUAUUGUUAUUGUUAUUGUUGUUAUUAUUAUUAUUAUUAUUAUUUCUGUAUGUAUAUAUGUAUAUAUUAUUUAAAAAACAAUAAAUAAAAUAAUUAUAAAAAAUAAUAAA